rnacentral:rRNA from 1 species
GACGAACGAUGGCGGCGUGCCUAAUACAUGCAAGUUGAGCGAUGAAGCUUGGUGCUUGCACCAAUUUGAAGAGCAGCGAACGGGUGAGUAACGCGUGGGGAAUCUGCCUUUGAGCGGGGGACAACAUUUGGAAACGAAUGCUAAUACCGCAUAACAACUUUAAACAUAAGUUUUAAGUUUGAAAGAUGCAAUUGCAUCACUCAAAGAUGAUCCCGCGUUGUAUUAGCUAGUUGGUGAGGUAAAGGCUCACCAAGGCGAUGAUACAUAGCCGACCUGAGAGGGUGAUCGGCCACAUUGGGACUGAGACACGGCCCAAACUCCUACGGGAGGCAGCAGUAGGGAAUCUUCGGCAAUGGACGAAAGUCUGACCGAGCAACGCCGCGUGAGUGAAGAAGGUUUUCGGAUCGUAAAACUCUGUUGGUAGAGAAGAACGUUGGUGAGAGUGGAAAGCUCAUCAAGUGACGGUAACUACCCAGAAAGGGACGGCUAACUACGUG